CUGCCGUAUACUGGGGGAUAACACUUAGAAAUAGGUGCUAAUACCGCAUAAGCGCACAGCUUCGCAUGAAGUGGUGUGAAAAACUCUGGUGGUAUACGAUGGUUCCGCGUCUGAUUAGCUUGUUGGUGGGGUAAUGGCUCACCAAGGCGACGAUCAGUAGCCGGCCUGAGAGGGUGAACGGCCACAUUGGGACUGAGACACGGCCCAAACUCCUACGGGAGGCAGCAGUGGGGAAUAUUGCACAAUGGGGGAAACCCUGAUGCAGCGACGCCGCGUGAGUGAAGAAGUAUUUCGGUAUGUAAAGCUCUAUCAGCAGGGAAGAAAAUGACGGUACCUGAUUAAGAAGCCCCGGCUAACUACGUGCCAGCAGCCGCGGUAAUACGUAGGGGGCAAGCGUUAUCCGGAUUUACUGGGUGUAAAGGGAGCGUAGACGGCAGCGCAAGUCUGAAGUGAAAUGCCGGGGCUUAACCCCGGAACUGCUUUGGAAACUGUGCAGCUAGAGUGCAGGAGAGGUAAGUGGAAUUCCUAGUGUAGCGGUGAAAUGCGUAGAUAUUAGGAGGAACACCAGUGGCGAAGGCGGCUUGCUGGACUGUAACUGACGUUGAGGCUCGAAAGCGUGGGGAGCAAACAGGAUUAGAUACCCUGGUAGUCCACGCUGUAAACGAUGA
rnacentral:rRNA from 1 species